rfam:Dipodomys ordii contig_51168, whole genome shotgun sequence.
UGGGAUGUAGCUAAGUGGCAAAGUGCUUGCCUAGCAAGUGUAAUGUCCUGGGUUCGAUUCCCAGUACCAA